AUAUCCACCGCUCCUUUGUCCCAUUCUUUCCUCGAAACCCUAUCCCAACCUCCGUCGCCGCCGUCCCGAAUUAUUCCCCCAACGUCCUUCCUUUCCCGCAACCCUUCUUCGCAUACCCCCUUCCAAGAUUCUCCUUCCUCUUCCGCGGACGCCCCCCGUGAUCGAUCGAAGAUGUCGAGCGCACUCGACAUGUCCCUCGACGACAUCAUCAAGAACAACAAAAAGUCCGCUGACGGGAGCCGCGGACGGGGCCGUCGCUCGGCCGCUGGCCCCGCCCGCCGUGUUUGGAAUCGAUCGGCGAACCGACCCGCUCCCUACUCUGUCGGGAAGGCUCCGGACUCAGCGUGGCAGCACGACAUGUACGCGGCUCAGAUGGGUGGCCUGCCUGCUCCAGCGGCUAGGGCGUCCGCUAUAGAGACCGGCUCAAAGCUGUAUAUUUCGAACUUGGAAUAUGGGGUCUCGAACGAGGACAUUAAGGAGCUCUUUUCAAAGGUUGGUGAUCUGAAGCGUUAUUCAAUAAAUUAUGAUAGAAGUGGAAGAUCUAAGGGAACAGCUGAAGUGGUCUUUGCUAGAAGAGUUGAUGCAUUAGCAGCUGUAAAGAGAUACAACAAUGUUCUGCUUGAUGGAAAACCGAUGAAGAUAGAAAUUAUUGGGACAAAUAUUCCAACACCAGCUGUUGUGCCUCAUUUCACUAAUGGUGCCUUUAGAAGCACUAAUGGCUCUUCCAAAAGUUUUUUAAUAGGUACCUGGGCCCUUGGGCGAGACCCAAGCACCUCGCACCACCUCCGGGUGACGCUAUUCACUAAAGUGCAACCUAGGCGCUCGCUUGAGCCCAGGCGUCAGGCACCUCGGGCAAGCGCCCGAGUGAAAGUGGUGUAGCGCAAGAGAUUGGAAGAGAAAGGGGCCCAAGCAUGGAGGAGGGCAUUGACCUAAAGGCGUAUACAACAGAACUGAUCACUGCUCAAUGGCAAAUGGGAGGGCAAAAGACAUGAUCUCGUUGGAAGACGAAGAGCUAGGGUUUUUAAGGAAAGCACUAGACCAGGAAGGGGUUCUUCAGGAUGGCCGCGUCGUGGUGGCCGUGGGAGCAGCGGGGGCCGUGAGCGAGGUAAAGGACGUGGUGGUGAACCAAUAUCUGCUGCAACACUUGAUGUUGAUUUGGACAAGUACCAUGCAGAAGCAAUGCAAACCAACUGAGUGCUUCUGGUUGGUUUCUUUAAUCGACGAUCAUUGAUGCUCCUCAGUAAUCUUAUUAUUCUGCUAACAUGCAUAAUAUAGGAAAUGGAAGAUGAUGUCAAAAUACUGAGUGGGUCUUCGGGCUUUCAUUUGAACAUUGUUGUUGCAUUUUGAUUUCAUUUUGUUACUGGGGUUACAAAGUGAACUUCUGGUGUCUGGCCUUGGUGAA